CCGGAGGUAGGGUCCAGCG
rnacentral:snRNA from 1 species